CUUCGACAGGUUCUUCUUUGAUGCAGAGGUCUAAGGGCUGCACUGGCGUCGUCAACGGCUUUUCGGGUGUGACCGAGCUCUUGACAGGACUGGCGUCUUCAAGGCCCUCCUCCGGACACAGUGAGCUGUUUGAGAUGUGCGGUGCUGGAGUGGAUGAGCUCGUCCAGGGAUUGCUCCGCUCUUUCCAGGUCUCCCAGCUCUUUCCUCAAAGCUCGAGCCUUCUCUCCUCCGCUGGCACCGCCUUCGAACACAUCUCCCACCCUGCAGGAAACAAGAGAACUGAGUUUUUGUCCAAAGAAAAUGUGUUUACUUUUAAUACAUGCAGACCUUUAGGAGAUCAGGCCCUGAAUAUCCUCCAAGAAACACACAAGACUGGUCUUUGAGUAUUGUAGUCAAGUCAUUUUCAAAAGGACAUCAGUGGCCCAGUUCAGGUCCAAAACUCCGUCUGGAGACUCGGCAAUGAGGCCCACAAAUUUUUUAGUCAGCAGGCCCAGCGAGGUGUCGUAUCUUGUCCGCUCGCCUGGCGACUUUGGAGCUGAAGGCAACGACCAGAGACUUUUCUUACAAAACAGUAACUUGUUUUAAAGUGAUGAUAUUAAUAAAAAGUCAUGUUCUCACUUCUUGGACUUGCUGCAAUGAUGCCUUUGCCUUUAGGGGUGCGGAACUCAGGGAGGAAAAUUGGAUCUUCAAGAUCCAGCUUCCUUUUAGCCUAAAAGAAGCAGAGACAUGCAUAUUGUUUUAAUAAUACACGUUUAUUGUCACAAUCAGACAAGAGUACACCCGUUGCCUUCAAG